GACGAACGCUGGCGGCGUGCUUAACACAUGCAAGUCGUACGGUAAGGCCCUUUCGGGGGUACACGAGUGGCGGACGGGUGCGUAACACGUGAGUAACCUGCCCACAACUUUGGGAUAACGCUAGGAAACUGGUGCUAAUACUGGAUAUGUGCUCCUGCUGCAUGGUGGGGGUUGGAAAGCUCCGGCGGUUGUGGAUGGACUCGCGGCCUAUCAGCUUGUUGGUGGGGUAGUGGCCUACCAAGGCGGCGACGGGUAGCCGGCCUGAGAGGGUGACCGGCCACAUUGGGACUGAGAUACGGCCCAGACGCCGACGGGAGGCAGCAGGGGGGAAUAUUGCACAAUGGGCGCCAGCCUGAUGCAGCAACGCCGCGGGCGGGAUGACGGCCUUCGGGUUGUAAACCGCUUUCAGCAGGGACGAAGCUUUUUGUGACGGUACCUGCAGAAGAAGCACCGGCUAACUACGUG
rnacentral:rRNA from 1 species